rnacentral:rRNA from 1 species
AUUGAACGCUGGCGGCAGGCCUAACACAUGCAAGUCGAAUGGUAACAGGAAACAGCUUGCUGUUUCGCUGACGAGUGGCGGACGGGUGAGUAAUGUCUGGGAAACUGCCUGAUGGAGGGGGAUAACUACUGGAAACGGUAGCUAAUACCGCAUAACGUCGCAAGACCAAAGAGGGGGGACCUUCGGGCCUCUUGCCAUCAGAUGUGCCAGAUGGGAUUAGCUAGUAGGUGGGUAACGGCUCACCUAGGCGACGAUCCCUAGCUGGUCUGAGAGGAUGACCAGCCACACUGGAACUGAGACACGGUCCAGACUCCUACGGGAGGCAGCAGUGGGGAAUAUUGCACAAUGGGCGCAAGCCUGAUGCAGCCAUGCCGCGUGUAUGAAGAAGGCCUUCGGGUU